CACAACAACAACACGUGCAGAUCCUGCAGAUGGUUUAGUCUUAAAAGCUGUUAAUGUCACCUUGACAGCACAUCUUUCCGCUCAACUGCAAACACAACUCGACUCACAGUCUGAUAAAAUGAGUGUCACGCGACUCACCUAAUAAGUGAUGUCUUGUUGGUUGUAAACUCGUCCGGCUGAAGCAGAGCUCUGGACGUGUGGACAGACAUUGACUGUAAUGAUGGACAGUCUGUGCAAAAGUAUAACCUCUGCGGGUCACGGUGCUGGAAGCUCCAGGGGGAGACCGUACUGAUAUCCCCCUUCUUCAGGCAUGCCUUCACACACACUCCAGCAUUCACUCAUAUCGCAGAGACCUGGCUGGGGUCAAACCAGCAACCUCUGAACCCGUGAGGCAGCGCUCAUACCUGUGAGCCACAGGUCUCUUGUUGGAAUACAUGAAGGAACUUAUAUUUGACAGUUUACCUGUGAUUUCCCAAUAAAGAUGUUAAAGUAAAGUGUGUAUGUGGUUUUUGGAGGAGAGAUUUGAACCCAUGUCUCUAUCACAAACUCCGAAAAUGUGUGUUUAUCCACUAAGCCAUCAUGGAUUUCACAUGGUGUUUUGGCGUUUGAGUGACUUUGUUGGCUGAGACCAGUUUAAAGUAAGCAAUAAUGGGAUUAGAACCAGGACUUUUAUAUGUGAGAGUGAAACCUUUAACCACUGAGCCACAGAGAUUGUAGGUAUGUACUUGUUUUUAUUUUUAGGGUCAUUUAGAUUUUAAGUUUAAGUUCAGGCUGAGUAAAAGAUUUUAUUGCUUCUGUGGGAUUUGAACACGUCUUUGUUGUAGUUUCAUGAUUCAAAGUCACGUUUAGCCAAAGCACCACUAGGCUUUUAUAUUGUUUGACCCUCAAUUUAGGUUAGACACAAGUAAGUUUAAAACUCUCUAUAUUUGAUUCAGUACUUUCACACC